rnacentral:rRNA from 1 species
UACGUAGGGCGCAAGCGUUAUCCGGAAUUAUUGGGCGUAAAGAGCUCGUAGGCGGUUUGUCGCGUCUGCUGUGAAAGACCGGGGCUCAACUCCGGUUCUGCAGUGGGUACGGGCAGACUAGAGUGCAGUAGGGGAGACUGGAAUUCCUGGUGUAGCGGUGAAAUGCGCAGAUAUCGGGAGGAACACCGGUGGCGAAGGCGGCCGUCUGGGACAUUCCUGACACUGGAGGUUCGAAAGCUCGGGGAGCAAACAG